rfam:Hordeum vulgare subsp. vulgare, WGS project CAJW01000000 data, contig: morex_contig_56912
GAAAUACUACCUCCGUUCGAAAAUACUUGUCCUAAAAAAGGAUAUAAUGGAUGUAUCUAUAACUAAAAUAAAUCUAGAUACAUUCAUUUUUAGGAUAAGUAUUUCCGGACGGAGGGAGUAUGUU